rnacentral:rRNA from 1 species
UACAGAGGGGGCAAGCGUUGUUCGGAAUUACUGGGCGUAAAGCGCGUGUAGGCGGCCCGGUAAGUCCGCUGUAAAAGUCGGGGGCUCAACCCUCGAAAGCCGGUGGAUACUGUCGGGCUAGAGUACGGAAGAGGCGAGUGGAAUUCCAGGUGUAGCGGUGAAAUGCGUAGAUAUCUGGAGGAACACCGGUGGCGAAGGCGGCAUCCUGGACCAACACUGACGCUGAGGAGCGAAAGCCAGGGGAGCAAACGGG